rnacentral:rRNA from 1 species
AUACGUAGGUGGCAAGCGUUGUCCGGAUUUACUGGGUGUAAAGGGUGCGCAGGCGGGACUGCAAGUUGGAUGUGAAAUACCGGAGCUCAACUCCGGGGCUGCAUCCAAAACUGUAGUUCUUGAGUGAAGUAGAGGUAGGCGGAAUUCCGAGUGUAGCGGUAAAAUGCGUAGAUAUUCGGAGGAACACCAGUGGCGAAGGCGGCCUACUGGGCUUUAACUGACGCUGAGGCACGAAAGCGUGGGGAGC